rfam:Macrostomum lignano uti_cns_0046997, whole genome shotgun sequence.
AUACUUACCUGGCGCGGGGAUACCGUGAUCAAGAAGGCGGUGCCUCCAGGACGAGGCCUGUACAUUGCACUCCGUAUGGGCUGACUCCUGCGACUACCCAAAUCGGGGUGGCUCGAGCGCAUAAUUUUUGGUAGUGGGGACAAGCGUUCGCGCUGUCCCUU